rnacentral:rRNA from 1 species
AGAGUUUGAUCCUGGCUCAGGAUGAACGCCGGCGGUGUGCCUAAUACAUGCAAGUCGUACGCACUGGCCCAACUGAUUGAUGGUGCUUGCACCUGAUUGACGGUGGAUCACCAGUGAGUGGCGGACGGGUGAGUAACACGUAGGUAACCUGCCUCGGAGCGGGGGAUAACAUUUGGAAACAGAUGCUAAUACCGCAUAACAACAAAAGCCACAUGGCUUUUGUUUGAAAGAUGGCUUUGGCUAUCACUCUGGGAUGGACCUGCGGUGCAUUAGCUAGUUGGUAAGGUAACGGCUUACCAAGGCAAUGAUGCAUAGCCGAGUUGAGAGACUGAUCGGCCACAAUGGAACUGAGACACGGUCCAUACUCCUACGGGAGGCAGCAGUAGGGAAUCUUCCACAAUGGGCGCAAGCCUGAUGGAGCAACACCGCGUGAGUGAAGAAGGGUUUCGGCUCGUAAAGCUCUGUUGUUGGAGAAGAACGUGCGUGAGAGUAACUGUUCACGCAGUGACGGUAUCCAACCAGAAAGUCACGGCUAACUACGUGCCAGCAGCCGCGGUAAUACGUAGGUGGCAAGCGUUAUCCGGAUUUAUUGGGCGUAAAGCGAGCGCAGGCGGUUGCUUAGGUCUGAUGUGAAAGCCUUCGGCUUAACCGAAGAAGUGCAUCGGAAACCGGGCGACUUGAGUGCAGAAGAGGACAGUGGAACUCCAUGUGUAGCGGUGGAAUGCGUAGAUAUAUGGAAGAACACCAGUGGCGAAGGCGGCUGUCUGGUCUGCAACUGACGCUGAGGCUCGAAAGCAUGGGUAGCGAACAGGAUUAGAUACCCUGGUAGUCCAUGCCGUAAACGAUGAGUGCUAGGUGUUGGAGGGUUUCCGCCCUUCAGUGCCGGAGCUAACGCAUUAAGCACUCCGCCUGGGGAGUACGACCGCAAGGUUGAAACUCAAAGGAAUUGACGGGGGCCCGCACAAGCGGUGGAGCAUGUGGUUUAAUUCGAAGCUACGCGAAGAACCUUACCAGGUCUUGACAUCUUGCGCUAACCUUAGAGAUAAGGCGUUCCCUUCGGGGACGCAAUGACAGGUGGUGCAUGGUCGUCGUCAGCUCGUGUCGUGAGAUGUUGGGUUAAGUCCCGCAACGAGCGCAACCCUUGUUACUAGUUGCCAGCAUUAAGUUGGGCACUCUAGUGAGACUGCCGGUGACAAACCGGAGGAAGGUGGGGACGACGUCAGAUCAUCAUGCCCCUUAUGACCUGGGCUACACACGUGCUACAAUGGACGGUACAACGAGUCGCAAGCUCGCGAGAGUAAGCUAAUCUCUUAAAGCCGUUCUCAGUUCGGACUGUAGGCUGCAACUCGCCUACACGAAGUCGGAAUCGCUAGUAAUCGCGGAUCAGCAUGCCGCGGUGAAUACGUUCUCCGGGCCUUGCACAAACCGCCCGUCA